rnacentral:rRNA from 1 species
CAUUAAAGAAUCGCCCCGUUUUUUGAAAUGGGUUCUAUUCCCAAACCGUGUAUACAUUCCUUUGUUGCUUUGGCAGGCCGCCUUUUAGGCGUUGGCUCCGGCUGACUGCGCCUGCCAGAGGACCCAAACUCUUUUGUUUAGUGAUGUCUGAGUACUAUAUAAUAGUUAAAACUUUCAACAACGGAUCUCUUGGUUCUGGCAUCGAUGAAGAACGCAGCGAAAUGCGAUAAGUAAUGUGAAUUGCAGAAUUCAGUGAAUCAUCGAAUCUUUGAACGCACAUUGCACCCCUUGGUAUUCCGAGGGGCAUGCCUGUUCGAGCGUCAUUAUAACCACUCAAGCCCUCGGCUUGGUCUCGGGGUUCGCGGUUUCGCGGCCCUUAAAAUCAGUGGCGGUGCCGUCUGGCUCUAAGCGUAGUAAUCCUCUCGCUAUAGGGUCCAGGUAACCACCUGUCAGAACCCCCCAUUCUUUAUGGUUG